CGCCAACGAACGAUCGGACAUGGGAUAACGGAAGAGGGGCGUCGGCUCGACUUCGUCGGUUCCUCGGGCCGAGGCACGUACGGUGAAUAGGGACGGUCGGGGCCGCCCGUACCGGGUCGUGAGAGGUGAAAUUCUAGGAUCGACCCGAGACGAACCGCCGCGAAAGCAUUCGGCAAGGACGCUUUCAUUAAUCAAGAACGAAAAGUCGGGGGAUCGAAGACGAUCAGAUACCGUCGUAGUCCCGACCGUAAACGAUGCCGACCGAGGGCCCGGAGGAGUUACGUACGACCCUCCGGGCCCUCCCGCGAGAAAUCAGGAGUAUUCGGGUUCCGGGGGGAGUAUGGUCGCAAGGCCGAAACUUAAAGGAAUUGACGGAAGGGCACCACCAGGAGUGGAAUCUGCGGCUUAAUUUGACCCAACGCGGGAAAACUCACCAGGUCAGGACACGGUAAGGAUUGACGGACUGAAGGCUCUUUCUCGAUUCCGUGGAAAGUGGUGCAUGGCCGUUUUUGGUUGGUUGGAUCGAUCCGUCUGGUUAAUUCCGUUAACGAACGAGACCUCGGCACUCCGAAUAGCGCGGCGGACGUCGCGGCCUCCGGGCCGGUUCC
rnacentral:rRNA from 1 species